rnacentral:rRNA from 1 species
UACGGGGGGGGCAAGCGUUGUUCGGAAUUACUGGGAGUAAAGGGCUCGUAGGCGGCCAACUAAGUCGGAUGUGAAAUCCCCAGGCUCAACCUGGGAACUGCAUCCGAUACUGGAUGGCUUGAAUUCGGGAGAGGGAUGCAGAAUUCCAGGUGUAGCGGUGAAAUGCGUAGAUAUCUGGAGGAAUACCGGUGGCGAAGGCGGCAUCCUGGACCGACAUUGACGCUGAUGAGCGAAAGCUAGGGGAGCAAACGGG